rnacentral:rRNA from 1 species
UGGGGAAUUUUGGACAAUGGGGGAAACCCUGAUCCAGCCAUCCCGCGUGUGCGAUGAAGGCCUUCGGGUUGUAAAGCACUUUUGGCAGGAAAGAAACGUCAUGGGUUAAUACCCCGUGAAACUGACGGUACCUGCAGAAUAAGCACCGGCUAACUACGUGCCAGCAGCCGCGGUAAUACGUAGGGUGCAAGCGUUAAUCGGAAUUACUGGGCGUAAAGCGUGCGCAGGCGGUUCGGAAAGAAAGAUGUGAAAUCCCAGAGCUCAACUUUGGAACUGCAUUUUUAACUACCGGGCUAGAGUGUGUCAGAGGGAGGUGGAAUUCGGCGUGUAGCAGUGAAACGCGUAGAUAUGCGGAGGAACACCGAUGGCGAAGGCAGCCUCCUGGGAUAACACUGACGCUCAUGAACGAAAGCGUGGGGAGCAAACAGG